rnacentral:sRNA from 10 species
GCCGCGCACAGGCGACCAUUACGUGCCCUUAAACCCUGGUCUACUUGAAUCACAGGGGAUGGAAGUUCCGACAUUAGCAACGGAGAUAUAGUUCACUACCCCACCAGAUGAGUUAUGGGAUAUGCCUUCAUACAACCCAUUUGAACUAUAG